rnacentral:rRNA from 1 species
GUUGAACGCUGGCGGCGUGCCUAAUACAUGCAAGUCGAGCGAACACACGAGGAGCUUGCUCCUCUGGCGUUAGCGGCGGACGGGUGAUUAACACGUGGAUAACCUGCCUAUAAGACUGGGAUAGCUUCGGGAAACCGGAUCUAAUACCGGAUAAUAUAUUGAACCGCAUGGUUCAAUAGUGAUAGACGGUUUUGCUCGCACUUAUAGAUGGAUCCGCGCCGCAUUAGCUAGUUGGUAAGGUAACGGCUUACCAAGGCUACGAUGCGUAGCCGACCUGAGAGGGUGAUCGGCCACACUGGAACUGAGACACGGUCCAGACUCCUACGGGAGGCAGCAGUAGGGAAUCUUCCGCAAUGGGCGAAAGCCUGACGGAGCAAUGCCGCGUGAGUGAUGAAGGUCUUCGGAUCGUAAAACGCUGUUAUUAGGGAAGAACAACUGUGUAAGUAACCAUGCACGUCAUGACGGUACCGAAAGAGAAAGCAACGGCUAACUACGUG